rfam:Burkholderia sp. AD24 chromosome I sequence.
CUGAUUAUUAGCAUCAUUCAUCGAAUGGUGGGUUAGCGCGCGUCGGUCUGCAGUGACAUCGAAGUGACAAACUAACCCGCCCCACGAGGCGGGUUUU